rnacentral:lncRNA from 1 species
CAGCAUCCAGGAAAGGUCGUUACUUUUCCAAAACACAAGUAGGACUUCACAAGCCUCAGCCUUGAAGAGUGUUCCUGGGAGCUUCCAGGCCCUUCAGGCAAAUGUGAAGAGCUCUUGUCCAGUGGAGGGGGUACUGAAGGGAUCCUCACCCGGGAGAGAGGGGAGGCGCUGUUUGGGUCUACUCCAGCGCAGAGCGAGGUCAAUCUAACAUGGCCACAGGAAGACGUAAGGACUUCCAAGACAGGAGAUCCUUCUGAGCGAAUUAUGAGGAACAGCAUCAAGAAGGAAGUGGCACCUGAACCAAGGCCUGUGAGAGAUCAAAUUCUACCUGCAAGCGUGUGAGGGACAGGUAUUCCUGGGCGAAGGGAGGGGAACAGGAAGAAAGUUAAAAGACGUGAUGAGGGAAUUAUCUGCCCUUUUUUUUUUCUUUUGUUAGUGUAAAUUGCUCCCCCACCCCCACCAAAAGGGGAAAAUAUCCCAGUUGCCAUCCUAGUGACUCCACUGGGUAUCCUCCCUCAGAUGCGCUCUCCACCCUCCAUCUUUUCCGUGGCCCCGUAGCCCGGCUUUUCAGCUCUCUGUCGACCAGUCUCCUUGCUCCUGGCUUUAGAUGGGUUCAGCCAAGAGAAGGCACAGGCAGGAGAUCACAGAGUGGAAGAAAGAGAGCAGGAGGUACUACACCUCCAGGUGCUCCUUGCCUCACUGUAGGUUGGCAGGGGCCGCAUUCCUUUACCAACAGUCAUGGCUUCCUUGACCAGCCCCUCCCUAUAACUAGUUUCUGGUCACUGCUCCCUUCCUGUUCACCAAGUUGUAAUAGCAACUCCCCAGCAUUACUAGCCCUGGGUGCUUCGUCAUCAUUUGUUGGUGUCGCUUAACACUGUCAGCACCUGUAUAUAAAAGUCCCUUCAUUAAGCUCUCCCCAGUCACCCCUUUUUGGUUUCCCAUCUGCUCCCUGCCAGGACUGUGAGUGACAUGGAGACCUUCAUAGUCAACUGAAGUUAGCCAAUGAUUGCUUUCAAUCUUCUUUGUCUGAUGUUUUCUUAUUCUUGGUUCUAAGUGUCUUAUUUUCUCAUCUUCAAAGAGUCACAUUAAUGAUACACUUCUCAUCAGACCUAUAAGUUGUAACUCUUUCACCUCUACCCUGAAGAGCGAGAUAUAUCUUUCAAAACGUUCGAACUGCACCAGUGACAAAAGAAAGAAUAGACAAAAAUUGGAUUUCACCAAAAUUAAAAUCUUUUGUGCUGCUUUAUCAAGAAAAUUAAAAGACAACCC